CCAAUAAAAGUGAUCUUAUCUUAUCUAAAUUAGCCAGGUCUGCUGUUGUCCGUUAAUCAUGGGAUCACAACCCGUGCUGGGCUGCACAGACAGGAUGGGAGGCUCCUGUGGGAUACAGUAUGCUCUGGCGUGUUGAGAGGGCAGGGUAGCUCCAUGUUGAAAUUUCCCUUUAAACACGUCGCAGUGGGGAGGUUUAUUUUUGGCAGAUUGUGGAGAGUGCCGCACGCUCGGACGAGGUCAGGGUCUGAUCUGCAGGACCCCAGGAACUCUGCUCAAAUACCUGUCAGCUUCACAGCCUCGUACUGGGGAUAUUUAUAGGGGACAGGCCCACUGAGACUGUUUUGUAUCUCGAAUCACCCUGGCCCCAUUUAUUCCAGCUGGGGACUCAGAAGACUUUUCGUUUUAAAUAGGCCCAGAUCACUGAAGCAAAUUUAUCCUAAUAGACAUCGUAUUCUUUUUUUUUUUACCUUUAUCUGUAUUCGAGUCUGCUGGCUGGCAGAGCUGAUGUGAUCUUCAGUUUUGUCUGCGAAGAGUGAGAUGUACGAGCAGGUGUGAGUGUGGCGAACGGGUCAUACAGCGCAGAGGGCUAGCGGCAGGUGGAAUCAGUGGUUGUGAGGAUGAGGGUGAAACACAGGGGGUGUGAUGAAGGAGGAGGACGGGCUGUUGAUCUGGGGGAUCGCCGUGUUUGCCAGUUCUUGGCUACCCCUUCGCCAGCCCGGCUCCCUCUUUGUCCAAGCUCUCCGGGAGCGAGCCGGCCAUCAAUCCGUGUCAAGUCGCCAAUAAGACUCAUGAACGGUGCAUGAAAUAUUCAGGAGAAGGCAUGGAUUAUUCAUGAUGGCCCAGGACUGGAGGGAGUGCAGGGAUGUGCCGAAACGCUCCUUGACUGAUGUUCCCUGAGUCGUGCUCUGACUGGCACCAGCGAUCAGAGACUCGGAGCUCCCUCCUGCCUUCACCUGUCAGAUGCAAAGAAAUAUCUGGAGGUGGCAGGUUUCCUAACACUUGUCUAAACCGCAAUAUUCACAGGAAGGACAGAGGAGAGGGUCGAAACAGCACCAAUCUUCUGCCGUGGAAAGUUUGUGCCUGGUGCAGCAAUCACUGCAGCUCACCAUCGGUCUGUCUGGCGCUCAAAAGGAAGGAGAUGAGAGAAUCUUCUAGGCUGCACAUCCCCCUCCUACUACGCUUCUGGAAUUUCAGCCACGGCACUGGACCUGUGAUCCCGUCUUUCGACUGCCCUGCCUGUCCGCCUGCCUGCGACUGCACUGUGAGGGAGCAGAUGACGCAUGAUGCCAGGACACUGGGAAUUGUUACGGUCGGUCCACACAUAUAUUUCCACCCAUUUAUACAGUCGGGCCUUUUACUGGAGCGGCCUGAGUGCUGCUGUCCUGCGAGGGACUGGGGAGCCCCCAGUGAGUCAGUGAGACACCCCACUCCUCCAGUCAGUGCCCACUGAGCCCCCAGUGAGUCAGGGAGACACCCCACUCCUUUAGUCAGCGCCCCCAGUGUGUCAGUGAGACACCCCACCCCUCCACUGAGCCCCCAAUGUGUCACUGAGACACCCCACUCCUCCAGUCAGCACCCCCAGUGAGUCAGUGAGACACCCCACUCCUCCAGUCAGAGCCCACUGAGCCCCCAGUGAGUCAGUGAGACACCCCACUGAGCCCCCAGUCAGCGCCCCCAGUUGCUGUGAGCAAGGCCAGGCUUGGCCCCUGCUCCUGCUGCCAGGAAUCGGUGAAAACUGGAUGGGAAACGUUGGAUUAGUUUUAGUGUUCUGAGGGGGGAACUAAGAGGAAAGCAACACACACGAGUCCUUCUUCAAUUUCCGUUAACGACCCUCUAACGAGGGUCCCCAGUAAAGGCCUGUUUCCCCGCUAAUUGACGUGAGCAGCGAUGGCCAGAGCGCGGGGAGUAAUUGCCGCGGUCUCCGCGGCGACUGGCCGACUUCGCCAGACUGAUCCUCGCGCCCCUCCUGGUCUCGGGGAGCGGCACUUCGCCCGCAGGCCGCGGAGCAAGAGGUAAUUAAAGUGAUUAGGAUGCAAAUAAAGGCCAGACUGGCAGGAAAUGAGAUGCAAGCCAGGGGAAGGCAGAGGGGCUCACCUUCAUCAG
rnacentral:lncRNA from 1 species